AUUUAUUUUUAUGCCGCUUAAGGAGUUGUGGGCAGAACAUAUUUACAAAGGGCUUUUUUCUUUUUUUUUAACCUUAAUAUACAAUAACCUUAAAGUCAAUGUAGUUUUUGUUUAUUUACUAUAAGUGGGUUGUUUUUUCACCAAUUGACUUUGUUUUAUUCCGUACAUUGUUUGAAUCUGUACACUCAGCAAUUAACAAUCGAUUCCUAAAUUAGUUCGCAAUUAUUUCAAUAAUCAAGUCAUCACUGUUGAUCAGAAUAAGCGUUUCAACUCUACAAUGAAGUAGUUAAAAUAGCAGUGAGAGACUGAAGGCUUUUCAAGUCCAAAUAUAUCAGGUUGCAGACAAACUUAACUGAUGACCUUCAUGUAAAUGUCCCACUUGAAAAUUCAGCUUUGCAUUUAUAACGAAGCCUAAAUAAAUGCCAACUGUCUCAUGAUGCAUGACAAGGCAUGGGGCAGUAUGUGAUUCUGUAUUGACACAAAGCAAAUUUACUUUUUACACAUAACAUAAAAAAAAAAUGCUGCAUAUUUUGGCCAUUCUGCUUUUUAUAAAUCAACACUGGAGGUACAGAAAGCUGAUAUUACUGGUUUAAUUAGACUGUUUGAUAGGGCAGCCAACCUGUAGUCAGUUGCUUAUCAGAUUUACUCCUCUUUGCUUGCAAAGUGUUGUGUUAAAACAGUGUUGCCUUCAAAAUAGUGUUGGGUGGCACUCUGUUAGUCACCACAAAUGACUGUUCGGUUUUUCUUGACUAUAACUUUUUCCAUAAAAGCCACAUUUAUUUGUCUUAAUCUGCCUUACGCUGUCAGAGAACUUCAGUUCUUUCUCUAGUUCUAAAAACUCUUGCCUUUAAAAACCAUUGCACGCCAUGAUCUCUGAAUCUUGCCAAUAACUUGUACAUACUUUGAAGGAAUACCAAAAUACAGUGAUCUGUCUCUAUCCUACUUUAUCUGACAUCAGAAAGUUAUUUUUUUUUUACACUUACAAAGCUUUAAUGUGGGAAUACUUUGAAACUUCAUUCUUUGGGUAUACAUUUUGAACCGCUCAGUUAGUUUGAUUUUAAUUCAACAAUUAAUGAAACCACUUAUACUACUUCACACAUGCAACAACAUGUAAUGUUUGCAACAUGUUGUUUUAGAUAAUGUUGCUCUGAAUUUUGGCUUGUAAAGACUUGUCAGUUGAUGCAACACUUUCCUUGCAUAGCAACAUACCAUCAUUUGUUUUUGUUUUUUUUUCUCUGUCAAAAUGCAAAAACCUUAAAUACAGGUACAUCUACAAAAACGUAAUAUUGUACAAGAAAAGGUAAAUAUUUUUUUCCUACUCAUUUCAGAAAGUUAAACUCAUAGAUUUAUUACACAUAAAGUGGAAUAUUUCAAAAUUCUUUUUGUUUUCAUUUUGAUUGUCUUGCUGACCAUGGAAACCCAGCAUUCAAAGUCUCAAAAAAAAAAAAAAUUGAAUAUUGUUUAAAAAAAAAAAAAAAAAAGGAAAAAAUCAGGGCCACCCCCAAAUAUUUAGGGAUUCAUGAGCCUCUAAAUGAUUUUUAUCUGGGUUGGUGAUCACACAAUCAUGGGGAAAACUGCUGACUUGACAGAUAUCCAGAAAACUGUCAUUGACACCUUCCGCAAGCCAUGCUAAAGAAGCUGGUUUAUGGCGCUAAAUCCAAGCAUAUUCAUCGGAAGUUGAUUGGAAGGAAAAACUGUGGUAAGAAAAUGUGCAACAGCAAUAACCACAUCCUUGAGAGGAUUGUCUGGCUAAAUCCAUUCAGGCUGAGGUCUGAAUGGAAAGAGCCAUUACGCACAGGUGAAGCCUUCACCUGGGACACAAAUGUUGCCUCGUAUCAAGUCACUCCAAAAUCAGAGACUGCACUGUUGCUUUGUGGUUGAAGGUCAUAUUUUCAUUUGGAAAUCAAGGUCCAUGAAUCUGGAAGAAAACUGGAGGUGCAGAAUCCUACAUUUCCACGGUCUAUGAUUGGUUUUAUUCUAUGUACUGUGAAUCUGAGUUUUGCUUUCUGAAAUGAGCAAAACUUAUUUCAGAAACGGCAGCUGUAGAGACUGCCAUCAGUGCUUUGUGUGCUGGAGCUGGGGGAGGAGAGCACAUCCCGUUUAGAGUGGUGGUAGGGGUGUUGAGCAAUCCCUCCUCUUCCUCAUUCUUCUCUGCGCCUCUGAUGAUUGAGGUAAUUGGAUGUGUGAUGUCCUACAAGUGUUCAUAUUUGACCACAUUCAAAUCCAGACUCUGCUCCUUCCACUUUCAUCUGUUUAACUCAGAGACGACUAAUCACUCAGGUCUACUACUGUACUAAGACUCGAGGCCUUUUUAGCAGGAGCUUUGUAUUUUUGUCUUUUUGGGAAAUAAAUUAUUCAACAGUUGAAUUUCCAGGUGGAGGUGAUAGAGCUGUAAACAACUGUGUACAUCAGCUGGCAGGAUAUGCAGUAAAAUGUAUUUGAAAUUGAUGUGCUUUGAACUGAAAAUUUAGUACAACGUUCAGUCACCUUCCUAAGGCUGUAGAGGGCUUGUGGUCUGAUUUGUGAGUUAAAAUGUAAAAGCAAAAAUCAAAACUAAAAAUAUUUGUCUGACAUUCAUAUUUCACUUCUAGACCAUUUGCCUGGUCAGUGUGUGUGUGCGUGUGUGCGUGCGUGUGUGUGUGUGUGUGUGUGUGUAAAAGAACAAAGACAAUACAAAUGACUCAUAAGUUUGCCAAAAGAUAUGAAGCCUGAACAGAAGCAAUAAAACUGUCCAUCCAUACAUGGUUAUCUACUGAAAUAGGUUUAGAAUCUCACUGAUCUAAACGCUAUUUUUUCCAGGUAAUUUCCCCUAAAACUUAGAAAGUCUAUCUUACAAAGACGAUUUCUUUUAGCAUUAAUUUAAUUCAGUGGUGUUUCCAGUUAAGUUUUUCUUUGACAAACAUUAUGUACAGGAUUGUCAAAAUGAUUAAAUUAUUGUCUGGCACGUUUGAGUUUCUGUGUUUAACCAUGGCCUCCUACUUAAAUUAGUGAUAAAAUAGGACCUUUUAUUCAAAGCAUUGUGUAGAUUCUCAUUAAUUGCACCUUGACAGUAACAGGUUGGCCUUAAUCCUCCUGGGCCUAAAUUUAAUAGGCUGUCCCUUGAGACUUUGGUCCAUAUUUGACAUGAUAGCUUAUCAUUGUUGUUGAAGGUUUGUCGGCUGCACAAUGAUGUGAAUCUCAUGUUCCAUCACGUCUCUAAGGUGCUCUAUCUGUAUGAGAUCUGGUGACUGUGGAAGCCAUUGUAGAACACUGAACUCAUUGUAGUGUUCAAGAAACCAGUCCAUGCCACUAAACGUUGCUAAUAAGGAUGUUGCAGUUGAACUGUAGACUCAUCGUACCAGGCAACGUUUCUUCCAAUCUGUUGUCAGAUUAUGGUAAACCCGUGUGAACCUUAGCCCUGGCGUUCCUGUUCUUUUGUUGUAGCUAGUCUGCUUCAAAGUUUGCCUGCAGCCUUAUAAGUCGCUGUUUCCACAUGCAUUUGUUGUAAUGAGUAGAUGUUUCAACUACUGUUGCCCAUCUGCCAGAUGAAAGGAGUGAGAAAACAAGAAGAAGCAUUUUCAAAGAAAAAAUGCUAAGUAAGUUCAAUCCUUUACCUCCUUAUCACCUCAACUCAUGCUGAGUCUGUUACCAUUUGGCUAGAUGUUUGUCUUUUUAACUUCUUAGCAGCUGGUCAUUUUUAAUGGACAAGUGGGAUGUAGUUGAGGGUCUGCUUACAUGUAAGUUUGUGGUCAGUCUGCUAAUGAGCUUUCACAGCUGAUUUUAAAAAAAAAUAAAUGUUUGGUCUUAGUCUAGGCUUGGUUUUGGCAGGUUUGACUAAAACUCUGCUAAAUGCAUUAAGUUGCUACCAUACAAUUUGAUGGGUUUCUAUUUGUGUUCACAAGUAAGUGUACCUUAUGUAGUGGCCAGUAAGUGUUCUGGUAUAUUUGUAUUGGCUAUAUAAACAUGUUAUGCAAAAUGUAGAAAGACCUAUACAAGGUUUCCCCCAGAAAACCUGCUAAGCCUGGUGGUUGGAGCGCUCGGGCAGUGAUUCACCCAGCGGUCCAUUGUGUUUUUGAGUUAAAAAUGUUUAAAGUUAACAGGAAAUUUGAAAAUAUCACUUGAAAAUGAUGUGUUGUUGAAAGAUUAGAAGAUUAAUAUCUGAACACCAAGUAUAAAGUCUUAAAAAAUGCAAACAGUUUUUAAAA